rnacentral:ncRNA from 1 species
CCACGUCCUGACGCGACCCCCCCAGCGCCGGGACGUUCCCGAGCCGGGCUCGGCGCCCCACCCCCCCCUGGGCGCCGGGUCCGGCUUCUUC